GUUGGAUAGAUGAUGUGCUAAUUAAACUGCGUUAUCUUCCUGCAAUUUCCUUACAAAAGGAAUUGAAGAAAACUUGUUUUACUGAUAUCCAAU
rfam:Spinacia oleracea cultivar SynViroflay scaffold17721.con0007.1, whole genome shotgun sequence.